rnacentral:tRNA from 1 species
AGCUCCGUAGCUCAGUGGAAGAGCGUUCCGUUCACACCGGAAAGGUCGCUGGUUCGAACCCAGUCGGAGCUA